rnacentral:rRNA from 1 species
UAGGGAAUCUUCGGCAAUGGGGGCAACCCUGACCGAGCAACGCCGCGUGAGUGAAGAAGGUUUUCGGAUCGUAAAGCUCUGUUGUAAGAGAAGAACGAGUGUGAGAGUGGAAAGUUCACACUGUGACGGUAUCUUACCAGAAAGGGACGGCUAACUACGUGCCAGCAGCCGCGGUAAUACGUAGGUCCCGAGCGUUGUCCGGAUUUAUUGGGCGUAAAGCGAGCGCAGGCGGUUAGAUAAGUCUGAAGUUAAAGGCUGUGGCUUAACCAUAGUACGCUUUGGAAACUGUUUAACUUGAGUGCAAGAGGGGAGAGUGGAAUUCCAUGUGUAGCGGUGAAAUGCGUAGAUAUAUGGAGGAACACCGGUGGCGAAAGCGGCUCUCUGGCUUGUAACUGACGCUGAGGCUCGAAAGCGUGGGGAGCAAACAGGAUUAGAUACCCUGGUAGUCCACGCCGUAAACGAUGAGUGCUAGGUGUUAGACCCUUUCCGGGGUUUAGUGCCGCAGCUAACGCAUUAAGCACUCCGCCUGGGGAGUACGACCGCAAGGUUG